rnacentral:rRNA from 1 species
CCCUUAGAUGUUCUGGGCUGCACGCGCGCUACACUGAUGCACUCAUCGAGUUUAUGACCUUGUCCGAUAGGAUUGGGUAAUCUUCUUAAAAUGCAUCGUGAUGGGGAUAGAUUAUUGCAAUUAUUAAUCUUCAACGAGGAAUUCCUAGUAAGCGCGAGUCAUCAGCUCGUGCUGAUUACGUCCCUGCCCUUUGUACACACCGCCCGUCGCUCCUACCGAUUGAGCGAUCCGGUGAAUAAUUCGGACUGCAGCAAUGUUUGGAUCCCGAACGUUGCAGUGGAAAGUUUAGUGAACCUUAUCACUUAGAGGAAGGAGAAGUCGUAACA